AUACGGAGGGGGCUAGCGUUGUUCGGAAUUACUGGGCGUAAAGCGCGCGUAGGCGGAUUGAUCAGUCAGGGGUGAAAUCCCGGAGCUUAACUCCGGAACUGCCUUUGAUACUGUCAAUCUUGAGUUCGAGAGAGGUGAGUGGAAUUCCUAGUGUAGAGGUGAAAUUCGUAGAUAUUAGGAAGAACACCAGUGGCGAAGGCGGCUCACUGGCUCGAUACUGACGCUGAGGUGCGAAAGCGUGGGGAGCAAACAGGAUUAGAUACCCUAGUAGUCC
rnacentral:rRNA from 1 species